ensembl:lncRNA
GUUGUGUUUACUAAUCGGCAGGCGGUUGAGGCCUACUCUUCCCUUGAAAAAAAAAAAAAAGCUUCUCUCUGGUAAAUAAAUAAUGUUGCACUGGAAUAGUUUAGCAGAGUUUUAUUGUACAUAAACCUUGUUCAGCAUCUUCACAUGUAACACAGCGUAAUGACACUAACAUCUUGAAGGAUUUCUGGGCAGUGGAGUGUUAAACGGCCCCGGCAAGAGUGGCUCCCCCCACACACACUCACUGCCAGCCGAACCAAAUUGUACUUUAACUCCAGGAAAGAUGAAAUGCUGCCUCUCAUGAGGGUUGCUGUCUAUCCGGCAUCUCGCCGACAUUUAUGGAAGAAGAACUCGCCGUUGCAUGGCUUCCGCUCGACUGACAAGCUCUGAAAAAAGCAAAGACAUGAAAGACAUGAAUGAUACCUUAAAUCAUGUGGCUUGUUGAAGACAGAUGAAUGAAAAUCCUUCAUCCUCAGAACGACAUGAGGAUGCCGAAAAAUAGACUGAUGCAAAGUGGAGCCUGUCAAGCCAAUGAGGACAGAAGAUGAAGACAGGACCGCCGAAAUAAGGAGAGACAAAAGAAACUGCUGCUCGAAGACUGAGAAGCAGGAAACACUUCUGGCAGCGGGAAUUUCCUGAGAGUGCAUCGAGAGGAAGGCUGCAGCAUACGCCAGCCCAGAAUGCACCACAGGAAGUGUCUGCGAGACUCCAGAAGCAGAGGUCAAGGCCAGGGGUCAACGGGUGGCACGGCAGAGAUUUACGGCGAGAGAAAACCCAGCCCGUUCACAGCCUUCAUCCAUUUCCCAGGGAAAUUAGCCAUAAAGUCACCGUUUUCAUCUUUCAAGGUUUUGUCAUAAACCGUCAUCUUUCCCCAUCUUUGAUUUGAGCAAGAAAAAAAGGCACUAAAAGAUAAAAUAAGAACAACAAUAGACUAUAACAGAUCCUACUGUAUUCUUUUCAUCUCAAGUUAACCUCUCGUUUUACCGUCCGUUGUUUCCGACACGGACCACCCUAUUGUUUAAAGAUGCCUGUGUGAAAAAACAAAAAACGUUUCACAUUUUCUGAAAUGUGCAGGGCUGCUCUCUGAGGUCCAUUUCAUUUUAACCAAAUGGGGGGGAAGCUUGUCUUUACUGCGGUGAGCAGAUGGAACUAUAAAUCAAGGCAGCCGUUGCCGCCCUGUAGAGGGCCGACCACAGCUGCCACUUUCUGCGUUUCGCUCAAAAUCUUUUCAGGUCCAUCGUCGAGCAAUCUGGGCUUCUUUUUUAUAUAUAUAUAUAUACACACCACACCUCCCCUCUCCGUACAGUCGUAUCCAUCAAAACGACGUGCGGCCAUCAACCUACUGCCGCGAUCGAUUGGCACACUUAUUUCCGUGCAUAGCCAAUGCCCCGCUCUGGAGGUAAACCCCACGACGGGCCCCUCAUUUUGGCUCUUUAGCCCCCAGCAACCACUGUGACUCUGGCAGCAGCAGGCCAGGCCUCCUCCAUUAAACUUGCAUUAUGAUGGAUAUCAAGGCAUCCAAGUCCUGAGUGUUUUAAACGAGAGGUGACAAGAAACGCAACAUGGGCUAUUGUUUUUCGCUCCAUCCUUAAAGCCUCCCACCACCGCC